GCCAGAAACACUCAGGAAACGCGUGACACGGAACCGAAACGCGCGAGCCCGUGAAUGGAGCGUGUUAACCGGAUGUUCAUCUCAGCUCUCCUAGUCCUCUGCUUGAUGUGGGUGGUUCAUGCCACCCUGUUAGGAGCCCUGCCCACUAGCCAAUCAGGGGUAUUAGAUUUUCAGCGGAAAAGUAGGUUUAAUAAAUACUGCUCCUCAUCUGCAGAACAAAAGCUUUUUUUUUUUGUUAUGUUUGUUUAAUCUUAAUGCACUUCAGUAUGCCAUGAUGCUGUAACUAUAGUGUGUGAUAUUUGUGAUGAAUCCCACCACCUGCUGCGCUACACACAUGAUGUGAUCUAGAUGAUUUGUGGAACGUUGUGUACUAGCUGACACAUGAUCUUUUCAGUAUCAGGAACACGCAUCGGAAGUGGAAUAAACAGCCACGUGCAAUAUACCGUGGUGUGCAAUGCACUUAGUGCAAAGCCUGAGAGAAAUCAAGUGGAUGUGUGUGUUUGCAGAUGGGGGCAGACUAAAAUGAGGUGCCCUAAAGUGACUUGCGUGACGUAUGGGACUUCAAGAUCCCGAUGGCCUGUGGCUAGAACCUCCUUCUGAGCCUUUCUGUUUUAGCCAUGUGGCUGCAGAAGCAUUUGCCUGACCUCAGCAGCCUGAACAGACCGUGCCUGGGGUAGGAAGCGUCCUUGAUCAUUUUCUGAGCUCAGAAAAGCAAUUUGAAAGCAAGGCAACAGUUUUACCGCCUCAGACAAUUCUGGAGGUUCGAGGUAUCUACUCCAAUUCAAAGGAUGUUCUAGACGUUUGUAUGGUAACUGCGCCAUCCAAGACUACAACACCCUGCAGAGGGUGGUACGUUAAGCAGAACUUCAACCAAAUUUUCUCG
ensembl:lncRNA